GACGAACGCUGGCGGCGUGCUUAACACAUGCCAGUCGAACGGAAAGGCCCUGCUUUUGUGGGGUGCUCGAGUGGCGAACGGGUGAGUAACACGUGAGUAACCUGCCCUUGACUUUGGGAUAACUUCAGGAAACUGGGGCUAAUACCGGAUAGGAGCUCCUGCUGCAUGGUGGGGGUUGGAAAGUUUCGGCGGUUGGGGAUGGACUCGCGGCUUAUCAGCUUGUUGGUGGGGUAGUGGCUUACCAAGGCUUUGACGGGUAGCCGGCCUGAGAGGGUGACCGGCCACAUGGGGACUGAGAUACGGCCCAGACUCCUACGGGAGGCAGCAGUGGGGAAUAUUGCACAAUGGGCGGAAGCCUGAUGCAGCAACGCCGCGUGCGGGAUGACGGCCUUCGGGUUGUAAACCGCUUUCGCCUGUGACGAAGCGUGAGUGACGGUAAUGGGUAAAGAAGCACCGGCGAACUACGU
rnacentral:rRNA from 1 species